rnacentral:tRNA from 1 species
GGGCCUUUAGCUCAGUUGGUUAGAGCCUCCAGCUCAUAACUGGAAAGUCCACGGUUCGAUCCCGUGAAGGCCCACCA